rnacentral:snRNA from 1 species
CUACUUGACUGGCAGGGAGGCAUGAUGGUCAUGAAGGUGAUUUCCUAGGUAGGGCCUCAUUCCUUGUACUUCUGGUGACCUGACCACUGAAAAUUCUGUGAUUUAGGGAACUACACUGUAAAAUUUGUAAUGUGAGAUACUGUAUAUGUAUGUUUUCUUA